AGAUUAGAGUUUGAUCAUGGCUCAGAUUGAACGCUGGCGGCAGGCUUAACACGUGCAAGUCGAGCGGAGUGAUGGUGCUUGCACCAUCACUUAGCGGCGAACGGGUGAGUAAUGCCUAGGAAUCUGCCCAUUAGCGGGGGACAACGUGUGGAAACGCACGCCAAUACCGCAUACGCCCUACGGGGGAAAGCAGGGGAGCUCUUUUAGAGCCUUGCACUAAUGGAUGAGCCUAGGUCGGAUUAGCUAGUUGGUGGGGUAAAGGCCUACCAAGGCGACGAUCUGUAGCGGGUCUGAGAGGAUGAUCCGCCACACUGGAACUGAGACACGGUCCAGACUCCUACGGGAGGCAGCAGUGGGGAAUAUUGGACAAUGGGCGCAAGCCUGAUCCAGCCAUGCCGCGUGUGUGAAGAAGGCCUUUUGGUUGUAAAGCACUUUAAGCGAGGAGGAGGCUACCUGUAUUAAUACUAUAGGAUAGUGGACGUUACUCGCAGAAUAAGCACCGGCUAACUCUGUGCCAGCAGCCGCGGUAAUACAGAGGGUGCGAGCGUUAAUCGGAAUUACUGGGCGUAAAGCGCGCGUAGGCGGUUUGUUAAGUCGGAUGUGAAAUCCCCGGGCUCACCU
rnacentral:rRNA from 1 species